ACGGAAGGUUCGGGCGUUAUCCGGAUUUAUUGGGUUUAAAGGGAGCGCAGGCUGCCGAUCAAGCGUGUUGUGAAAUUCAUGUGCUUAACAUAUGCAUUGCAGCGCGAACUGAUUGGCUUGAGGGCGCGUGACGUGGGCGGAAUUCGUAGUGUAGCGGUGAAAUGCUUAGAUAUUACGAAGAACCCCGAUUGCGAAGGCAGCUCACGAGGGCGCCACUGACGCUAAAGCUCGAAAGUGCGGUUAUCAAACAGG
rnacentral:rRNA from 1 species